AGGUUACUUCCGGGAAAGGCCCUGGGAUGUAGUGGCAACACCUGUCUCGGCGUCAGCAGGUCCGGCUUCCCCUCUGACGUAGCCUCCGACAAGUCCUUUGGGUUUUCUGGGCCUUUCGUGUCCUUCUCCGGAAAGUGAGGAGGCUGACUGCUCCCGAUUGCCGAGUCCGGCUGAGGUCUAGCCGAGCCUCCUCGUUGAGGAACGUGGGUCGACGUGGAGCGCAGGCCCCAGGCCGCCAAGAUGGCGGCAGCUGUUGCCGCGCAGGUGAAAUGCCCGGAUGGAGGGACAGCGGGAGCCCCCUGCAGGCUAAGAUGCAAGAUUUCACCCCCAGAGACCCUGGUGGAGCGCCUCAAAGAGGUUGCUGCUGGUAUUACAGCAGGUGACUCCAGCUUACCUAAGGCAGAACUGUAUGCAUCACACCGGCCCCCUGAUUACAGCUUUUAAGGGUUUCUGACUCAUCAGUGGCCAUUUGCAGUGAGUAGUUUUUAGCUUUUCUGUCUCUAAAAGCUUGAUGGUGAUGUUAUGAGCAGAGAGAGCUGGUAACUUAAAAAGGAAAAGUCAGUUGUUACCUUUGAGUAACCCAGAGAAAAGGAAGAGUGUUUUCAGAGAAUCUCAAAGCCCCCAUUGAAAUUGCAGACAGAGGCAUCCACCAGGAGAGAGGUGCCUUGCGGAUGCUGUGCCCUUGUCCUAGUAGGUCGUUUGAUUCACUUAUUUAUUCACAUCACAAGCGUUUCCAUGUUCUAUACGCAGUGAGACAGGUAGACGUAUCACACAGGACCCUGAGACCCCUUCUUUCCCCUUUAACCCUUUCUUUGCGGUCAGGCAGAUCCACUUUCCACUGGAUCGUAAGCUCUUUGAAGGCAGGGUCCUGAUCCUAUUUUGACGUUGUGUCUCCAACAUCGACAGCAGUGCCUGGCACCUACGAAGAAUGCAAUAAGCAUUUAAUGAACCAACAACAAGAAUGCAGCACGUUGGGAGGGGGAAUUGCUGUGGAGGAAGAGGGUACGCUUGGCUGGGAAUCUGUACUUGCCGAGGCCUUUGAAGACUAGCCAGACACUGAAGAGACCAAGUUCCAGAAUGGACAGAGCUGGAGGUGGAAAAUCGAACGUCAUUUCUGAAGAAGGGAUAGCUGGACUGUGGCCUGGGAUCUGGUCCCGAUGGAGGCAGAGUGAGAGGCCCCCAGCCUGGCUGGGUGCUCAUGGCGCAGGUGGAAGGAGCUGUGAGGGGAGGGAGGAUGCAGACCCCUCUGUUACCGGCCAUCCUGGUGCCAGGCCCCAAGAGGGCCGGGAAAGCAGUAGAAAACCCCAUCUUCCAGCCUGGCUGGGCCUUUCUGGACGGGGACACAGCCACAGGAGCACGGCAGUGGGAGGGCCUGUGUGGUUUUUUCCUAAUACCAACAACCAGUUCUCUGACUUCAUCUGGGUGUCCAGCAGUCCAAUUCAAUUCAGACAGGAACUAUCUAAAGUUAGCGUAGACCCCACCCCACAAGACUGUCCCACUUCAGACACCAGUCACAAGUGGGGUACUCAGGUUACCCACACUUCUGCCCAGCUGAUUACAAAUUAGAAGAUUCCCACCAAAUGUAAUUAGAUAGAGGCACUAUGGAGAAUAGCAUGGAGGGUCCUUAAAAAACUAAAAAUAGAGCUACCAUAUAAUCCAGCAAUCCCACUCCUGGGCAUAUAUAUGGAGGAAACCAUAGUUUGAAAAGAUACAUGGACCCCAGUGUUCAUAGCAGCACUAUUCACAAUAACUAAGACAUGGAAACAAUCUAAAUGCCCAUCAACAGAUGAAUGGAUAAAGACGUGGUAUAUAUACACAACGGAAUACUACGCAACCAUAAAAAAAGAAUGAAAUAAUGUCAUUUGCAGUAGCAUGGGUGGACCUACAGAUUAUCAUACCAAGUGAAGUAAACCAAAGACAAAUAUCAUAUGAUAUCACUUAUACGUGGAAUCUAAAAAAAAAAAA
ensembl:lncRNA